rnacentral:rRNA from 1 species
UACGGGGGGGGCAAGCGUUGUUCGGAAUUACUGGGCGUAAAGGGCUCGUAGGCGGUUUGUCGCGUCGGGAGUGAAAACACCGGGCUUAACUCGGUGCUUGCUUUCGAUACGGGCAGACUAGAGGCAUGCAGGGGAGAACGGAAUUCCUGGUGUAGCGGUGAAAUGCGCAGAUAUCAGGAGGAACACCAACGGCGAAGGCAGCUCGCUGGGACGGUACUGACACUGAGGCGCGAAAGCGUGGGGAGCGAACAGG